AGUACGCUAUGUGAAUCAUCGAAUCUUUGAACGCAUAUUGCACCCGACGGGCUCGCUCGUCGGGUCUGCCUGUCUGAGUAUCAGUACGGACCCAACUAAUAACCCAAGGCGGUCAGUGUUACUACUGACGCCUGCACGGUUGUUAUGUUGGUGCUCGUCGCCGCAUGUAUUUGCGCCGGCGGAUGUGAGUGUCCGGUUAAUAAUCAUAGCCUCUCACGGCUAUAUCGACCGGUCACUUGAAAUGCAUCAGUGCGAUUACUGUGAUCGUCAACCCGUUAGCAUUGUUGAUCAUCUUCCGAUGUUCUUUGCUAGUCCACGGAGACACUAACAGCGCACUAGGCGUAACUAUAUACUCGUAGUAGUCAUACUACUCUACCCAUCUUGAUCUCAGAUCAGGCAGGAUGACCCGCUGAACUUAAGCAUAUCAAUAAGCGGAGG
rnacentral:rRNA from 1 species